UGCUCCAUCUUAUCUUAUUGAGAUCAAAAUUGCGGUACUUUGUUAAUCUAGUGACUUUAGGUGGAAUGAGUUCUUAAGAUGAUCAUAAAUGAGACCGGACUAUGAAUGCCGGCCAAAGAACGAGACAGGUCACUGUCGUGAUUGGUUACCUAUCAGUCCGCGCAUGUGCAGUUUAUUUUUACCUACGCUAAAAUUGCCAGAGUUGCGCUACUGUAUAUAUUGAGGUUAGGAAGUACGGAGACGAGAGCAUGUGGAGAUACUCUUUUUUUGUGAUUAAAAUUAACCAUAAAAGUUCAUUAUAAAAAUGAAGAUGAAGAAAAUAAAUCAAGUGACUCUUAAAUCAUCUAAAGGAAGAAAGUUAGCAAGUGCUAAGAGAAAGAAAAGAGAUUUAAGCAAAAUAACUACAGAAGAAUUUCUUGAACAAAAUUUUGAAGGUGAUAGUGAUACAGACAGUGAUAAUGAUAACAGUAAUAAAAAUAUAGGUGAUGAAAACUAUGAGCACAUUGAAAGUGAUAGUGGUGAAAGUAACUUGGAUCCUGUAACACAUAAAAAAUCAUUGAUGAAACUGAAAGAUACUGAUCCUGAAUUUUAUAAAUAUUUAAAAGAGAAUGACAAAAAUUUAUUGGAUUUUAAAAUAUCAGAUAAUGAAGAUGAUAAUUCUUCAAUAAGUGACAAUGAUAAUAGACAUAUCCCUGAUGAAAAUUUAGAAAUUGCGAGCGAUGACAGUGAUUUCCAGCCAGAGGAAGUUGAAAAUGAUUCCAAGAAAAUCACCAUGCAAUUAUUAAAAACUUGGCAACAAGAAAUACAAACAGACAAAUCAUUAGUUAGUAUUAAACGUGCUGUAGAAGCCUUCCAUGCAGCUUUGAAUAGUGUUGCAGUAUCAUCUGAUACAAAUACACAAUAUAAAGUAGAAGGAAGCGCAAUAUUUAAUGGUGUGAUGCAACUGUGUAUAUUGCACUUACCUGAUGCAUUUAAGCGUUUUUUAAAGUUGGAUCCAAAAUCACAGGAAGCAUGUAAAUCUAAAAGAUUUGGAAAAAUACGGGGAAUCUUAAAAUUGUAUUUAUCAGAUUUACUUAUAUUAUUACAAAGUGUAACAUCACCUAGUAUUCUGCAAGUGCUUCUAAAGCACCUUCGCCAAAUGUUACCUUACAUGCAAUCAUUCUCGUCUUUGACUAAACCAUUGUUAAGAAUUUUGUUAAAAUUCUGGUCAACUGGAGAAGAAAUUGUUCGUGUUGUAGCUUUUAUAAAUAUUUUACGUAUUGCGACAAGUUACAAAGAUUCUACACUUGAGAAGUUACUAAAAACCAUGUAUAUAAAAUAUGUUCAGAAUACAAAAUUCGUAUCACCCAACACAUUACCAGGAAUAAAUUUUAUGAGGCAUUCUUUGGUUGAAAUUUACUUAUUUGAUCAUAAUCUUUCAUAUAGCCAUGCCUUUUUGUAUAUCAGACAAUUAGCAAUUCAUUUAAGAAAUGCUAUAACAUUAAAGAAAAAGGAAAAUUUUCAAGCUGUAUAUAACUGGCAGUAUAUUAAUUCUUUGCACUUUUGGACAGAAUUAAUAACAAAGUUGAAAAAUAAUUCAAUAUUACGGUCUUUAUUGUAUCCAUUAGUCCAGAUUAUUAUUGGAACAAUAAAAGUCUGUCCAACUGUACAAUAUUAUCCAUUGCGAUUCCAUUGUAUAAAUAUGUUAAUAACAAUCUCCAAGGAGACAGGAACUUUUAUACCCAUCUUGCCAUUCCUUCUUGAGAUCUUAGAUUCUUAUGAUUUUAAUAAAAAGCAUAAGACAGUUUCUAUGAAACCGAUACCUUUUAUCUGUAUAUUGAGGAUGUCUAAAUCGCAAUUGAUGGAAAAUGGUUUCAAGGAUAGUGUUAUUGGAACCAUUUAUCAACUUAUACUGCAAUAUGCUGCAAAUGAAAGUUAUAAAGUAUAUUUCCCUGAUAUGUGUAUACCCUGCAUAAUACAAUUAAAGGCGUUUCUAAAGAAAUGCCAUGUGGCAGCUUAUUGCAAAAAGAUGAAACAGCUUUUAACUAUGAUCGAAGAAAAUAGAAAAUACAUUGAAAAUGAGCGCGCUAAACUAACGAUUGAUUUAAAAAAUACAGUGGAAAUAACAAAUUGGGAAAAUAGGAUGAAAACUGGCACAGCAAUAGCUAAAUUCUAUGCUUCUUGGAUUAAAUUUCACGAAUCACAACAACUUAAACUUCUCAAUAAGACCGAAGAAGAAUUAAACAUACCUGUUGUGAGAAAAUUGAAGAAACGGACACUUGAUGAACAGAACACAGAGGAUAGUGAAGAAGAGAGCGAACUUGAAUUUCGAAUAAAAGGAACGGAAACUGAACCGGAGACAGAAAUGUCAUCUAAUAAGACGAAAAAACUCAUAAAGAAGAAGAAGAAGAAGAUAAUUAGUAAUAUCGAUGAUGAUUUGCCGAAGGAAAACACAGAUAUUGUUCAAGAUAUAAGUGAUUGGGAUUAAAAGUAGGUGUAAGAUUACUUCGAGUUAAUAAUUGUAUGUAUAAACAAACAAUGCAUAACGUGUUCGUUUAUAUUCUUAAAUGCAUUAUAAGUUUUUUUAAUUUCUUGUUCUAUCUUGCUAAUAUCUCACAUUUAAUAAUUAUUAUAGCAGUUUUGAAAUAAUCUAUGCAUGCUUGUCUGAUUUUGUUCUAAUUUUAUUUUUGAUCCUCGGAGGCGAAUAUUGCAAAGAAAACAUAUAAUUAUUAAUUCGAAAACAUCCGAAAAAUAAAUAUUGUAUUUAAAACAUUUACAAUUCAAUAUUUUGUAGUAAUUGCAAAGCAAUAACAACAUUUAUGUAUGAUGCUAUUUGAUCCAUUAUCGUGUACGCUGCAACGACGUUGUAUCGUAACAGACAACCGUCGUUGGCUCGACUCGAGUCUUGAGGUGUCGCUUUCUGAUGGUCUAUUUUUACCGAAAGGCGUCUCAAGCCAGUCGACAAGAAGGCGCUGUAUAGCGACGGUUUGGGCGCUAUUAUAAAGCAUCGUGUGUGCCGGCUGUGUAUUUGUAAUUCAUCGCAUGUAGGUGCGAAUCCGACCGACGAGCUCGACCAUCUCGGACGGAUCUUCGCAGCAAAGAGAGAAGUCGCGAGGUAUACACUGUCGAUACUAACAUCGGUGUAGAGCUGUAAAGAGACACGAACCUUCGCCACCACGGAAGUGACACUUCUCUCGCCAACCGAUCCGUUCCGGAAGAUAUCCAUUCACGUAUGUAGGCGAAGCGAGCGAUAAAUGAAUCAAUACCACACCUGUCGGCCAAUAUAUUUUCUCUGGCAAAAGUGUCUCUGUUGGAGAUGCGAAAUAUAUCUGUAGAAAAUCCAAUGAUUCGCGUUGCAGUUUGCUCGAUAUAAAAAUAAAUUUUGUUUCUCUUUCUAUCUCUCUUUCUCGCUUUUCUUCUCUGUUCUAUCAAUGAAUCCGUUGGCUCUUGAGAGUCGCGGUGGCGGCGGUGGUGAUGACUUCUGGUCCACUGCCUCUUGUGUUUAAAUGAUCAGUGUGCCAGUGAAUAUUUUGCAAGAUGCAAGAUUCGCUUCUCGUAGCGAGGGAGCCCUCGUCGUGGAUUUAAGCGGACCACCUUCGGCAAAGUGUGUUGGCCGAAGUGUCGCGCAUUACGUAAAGCUACAGGAAAAAUAAAACGCGAGCAAGGAAGGAAAACAAAGUGUGGGCGAAGAAGGGACACGAUUAACCCUCUCCUUGUGUGUGUGUGUAUACGUCGCGAUGAGGAGAUCAUCGUUUGAUAAGGCUCGUUGUACCACUGCCAAUACCGCGACGCGGAAUUAAUUGGCCGCUUGGAAGGGAACCAAUUCUCGUCGUCGAAAAAGCUCUGCCAGGUUCCACGGCACAUCGGGCCGAGGCAGAAUCUCGCGUUUUUCUCUCGCACAUCUCGUACGAUCAGUCAGUUAUCUGAAUAAAACUUGAAAACUCAAGGCAUUAAAAUAUAAAAAAGACUUUCAAAGGAUUAUAUAGGAUUGAAUGCAUGAGAGAUACAGCUGCGUCACAUUUUGUUUCGAAAAUUCUGCCAUUCACCAUUUUACAAACACGUUAACGCCAAGCGCAACAUUCUGAGCAACACGUCGUACGGCUUCACCUGUACCAAGGAUGCCGAGUACAAGUGCAGCGUGAAAUACAGUGGAGCUUCCUUGCAGGAGAAUUAUUUGCAACGUAGUGUAUCCGCGGACAAUGUUGUAAUUCGUUCGCGCGGUUACAAACCAUCCGACAGACAC